AUAAUGCUUUCGAAAAUGUGGUGUCUCGGUGUCUGCUGUUUCUGUUAAUCCUGAAGAUGCUCACCCGUGAGACUGAAUCAGAAGCCUGUCCCUGCCCUCACUCAGAGGAUGAGUCACACGGUGUGGGCGAGGUUUGGAGAUGGAAGCCAGCUCUGCUCUCUCCGUUGGUAACCAAGGCAAAGGCAUCUUGCUGAGAGAAUGCUUGCAAGUGCAUAGAAAGCUAAUCCCACGGUCAGGCCUGUGAAUGUUGGUUACCACUGUUGGCUAUCCUUUGCUUAAGUUUAAGUCACGGCAUCUUCAGAAUCACAUAGUUCCAAGAUACCAAGGUACUCUGUCUUCUGGUCCACAUUCCUUUGUCAUUGAACAAUUGCAUACAGCUGCACAACUGGCAAACCGAAGUCCUGCAAUUCCAGGCGAGGAUUGCUGCACUUACUUGAGAGACUUUGUUCCUCCUUUGUACCUGCCACGCGCUCUGCUGGGCACAGUUGUGUCCCUGUAAUCAGCAUAGUGAAGACCAAUGGGGUAGUUUGGUCACCGUAGGAAAAAAAAAACAAACUCUUCGACGCCGAUUUCACAACUACUCAUGGAAUCCCACAAACUCUUCUUUGGAAGACAGGAGAUUGAUCAUCAGUCAAAUCCACGGAUCUGUGAGGA
rnacentral:lncRNA from 1 species